GACGAACGCUGGCGGCGUGCUUAACACAUGCAGGUCGAACGGAAAGGCCCUGCUUUUGUGGGGUGCUCGAGUGGCGAACGGGUGAGUAACACGUGAGUAACCUGCCCUUGACUUUGGGAUAACUUCAGGAAACUGGGGCUAAUGCCGGAUAGGAGCUCCUGCUGCAUGGUGGGGGUUGGAAAGUUUCGGCGGUUGGGGAUGGACUCGCGGCUUAUCAGCUUGUUGGUGGGGUAGUGGCUUACCAAGGCUUUGACGGGUAGCCGGCCUGAGAGGGUGACCGGCCACAUUGGGACUGAGAUACGGCCCAGACUCCUACGGGAGGCAGCAGUGGGGAAUAUUGCACAAUGGGCGGAAGCCUGAUGCAGCAACGCCGCGUGCGGGAUGACGGCCUUCGGGUUGUAAACCGCUUUCGCCUGUGACGAAGCGUGAGUGACGGUAAUGGGUAAAGAAGCACCGGCUAACUACGUG
rnacentral:rRNA from 1 species